rnacentral:rRNA from 1 species
GCCCAUAAAUCUAGCUACCCAAACAUACAAAACCCAUAACCAAACUUAAACCAAAACAUUUACUUCGGCCAGUAAAUGAGAUUAAACACCAACACCCCAGCCUUAUAAGUACCGCAAGGGAACACUGAAAGAACAAUGAAAACUUAAGCACAAAACAGCAAAGAUCAACCCCUGUACCUCUUGCAUCAUGGUUUAGCAAAAUAUCUCAGACAAAGAGAACCUUAAGCCUGCCCUCCCGAAACCAAACGAGCUAUUUUUGGGCAGCUUUAAAAAGAGCGCACCCGUCCCUGUAGCAAAAGGGUGGGAAGACCUAAAAAUAGAGGUGAAAAGCCUACCGAGCUUGGUGAUAGCUGGUUACUCAACAAAAGAAUUUAAGUUCAACUUUAGGUAUAUAUUUAGACCAUUUUCAAGCUACUCAUUUCAAACCUAAGGAAAAUCAAUGGGGGUACAGCCCCAUUGAACCGGAAUACAGCCCGAACAGAGAGAUUUUUUUUCUUUUUUUUUUAGUGGGCUUCAAAGCAGCCACCAAACAACCGCGUUAUAGCACAAAACCUAAACAAUUCUAAAAGUUUUAAUAUUCUCCUGAUACACUCCGAGUAAUUCUAUGUUAUCAUAGAAGCACUUAUGCUAAAAUUAGUAAUAAGAAACACUUAUUUCUCUUCGCAUUCCCUUAAAUCAGAAUAGAAAAACUACUGACAAUUAACAAACCAAAACACCCACCCCCCAGCUACAAUGUUACUCUUAAAUUUGUUACCCCAACACAGGCAUGCAAAAAAGAAAGGCAAAAAGCCGCAAAAGGAACUCGGCAACACCUAGUCUCAACUGUUUACCAAAAACAUAGCCUUCAGCUUAACAAGUAUUGAAGGUACCGCCUGCCCAGUGACUCUUUAAACGGCCGCGGUAUCCUAACCGUGCAAAGGUAGCAUAAUCACUUGUCCCAUAAAUCAGGACUGGAAUGAAUGGCUAAAUGAAGACUAAACUGUCUCUUGCAGGCAAGCCAAUGAAAUUGAUUUUCCAGUACAAAAGCUGAAAUAUAAUCAUAAGACGAGAAGACCCUGUGGAGCUUCAAAACCAAACUCAUCAACCAUGCUUCCUUGGAUUUUUAGUUGGGGCGACUUCGGAGCAUAAAAAAACCUCCGAAAUAUGAGAUUUUAACUGAGACCAACACACCAAAAACAAUAUCAUAAGACCCAGCAACCACCUCGUGUUGACUGACCAAUGAACCAAGUUACCCCAGGGAUAACAGCGCCAUCCCCUUCUAGAGUCCCUAUCGACAAGGGGGUUUACGACCUCGAUGUUGGAUCAGGACACCCCAAUGGUGCAGCCGCCAUUAAAGGUUCGUUUGUUCAACGAUUAAAGUCCUACGUGAUCUGAGUUCAGACCGGAGAGAUCCAGGUCGGUUUCUAUCUAUGCGGCACUAUCCUCAGUACGAAAGGACCAAGAUAGUAGGACCAAUAUUAAAUAAAAGUCCUAACCAAAACUGCUGACCACCCUAAAGCAGUAAGCACGCCCAUCUCCCCACCCAAAAUAAGGGUUU